UACGUAGGGGGCAAGCGUUGUCCGGAUUUAUUGGGCGUAAAGAGCGUGUAGGCGGCCAGACAGGUCCGUUGUGAAAACUCGAGGCUCAACCUCGAGAUGUCGAUGGAAACCGUCUGGCUAGAGUCCGGAAGAGGCGAGUGGAAUUCCUGGUGUAGCGGUGAAAUGCGCAGAUAUCAGGAGGAACACCAAUUGCGAAGGCAGCUCGCUGGGACGUUACUGACGCUGAGACGCGAAAGCGUGGGGAGCAAACAGG
rnacentral:rRNA from 1 species